GUUUUUUUCUCAUUGGCCUCUUUAUAUCAGGUGUUUUGGCCUGCUUUGGUCAAAGUGAUUUGAUCGCCACAAUGCCAGAUAGAUUGGAUGUACUGACUGGCUCCUGUGUGCAAAUCCCAUGUUCAUUUGAUAUUCCUGACCAACAUAAGUAUACAUUUAACAGCACAAUACUAACCUCUGGAGUGUGGAUUAAAGGAAACCCAUACUUUGGUGAGCGUCCGGGCAGAGAUAUAUUUAACAGUAGUGAGACGGUCAACAGAUAUCAAGGGAAGAUAACUGGAAACAUGUCCCAGAAGAACUGCACCACAGUCAUCUUCAAUUUAACCACCAGUUACACUGAUAGAUACUUCAGGAUUGAGAGUCAACCAUUACAUGCAACAGACAUUGGAAAGUCUGUUGAUAUAGUUGCCAGAGAUUUGCCUUCCAGUCCCAUCAUUACUGUCUCAGGUGAAGUGAAGGAAGGGCCCCUGUCAGUUUGAACUGCUCUGCUGUCGCUCCCUGUCCCGAACACCCCCCUGAGCUGACAUGGACUCUCCCAACACAGUUCACACCUGAGAACCAACUGCAGGAGAAUCCAGAACAAACCAUAUCAGUUCUCUCCACGGUGAGCUUCACUCCAUCAUACCUUCAUCAUGAGAAGAACAUCACUUGUACUGCAGUCUACCCAGUAGGGACAAGCAACAAGACAGCAGAACAUAACAUGAUGCUUAACGUUUCAUAUAAGAUUUAGUAACCGGUUCCUGAAGAAUAGAUCAUUCUAUCAUGUUUCACUGAUGAUUGUAAUAGAGUGGUUUGGAUGAGAAUAUUCAACAUACCAUAUCCAGAUACAUUGUAAAUGAACCCCUCU